rnacentral:rRNA from 1 species
AGAGUUUGAUCCUGGCUCAGAUUGAACGCUGGCGGAAUGCUUUACACAUGCAAGUCGAGCGGCAGCGCGGGGGCAACCUUGGCGGCGAGCGGCGAACGGGUGAGUAACAUAUCGGAACGUACCCAGUAAUGGGGGAUAACCAACCGAAAGGUUGGCUAAUACCGCAUACGCCCUGAGGGGGAAAGUGGGGGAUCGCAAGACCUCACGUUAUUGGAGCGGCCGAUAUCGGAUUAGCUAGUUGGUGGGGUAAAGGCUCACCAAGGCGACGAUCCGUAGCGGGUCUGAGAGGACGGCCCGCCACACUGGAACUGAGACACGGUCCAGACUCCUACGGGAGGCAGCAGUGGGGAAUUUUGGACAAUGGGCGCAAGCCUGAUCCAGCCAUUCCGCGUGAGUGAAGAAGGCCUUCGGG